AGAGUUUGAUCCUGGCUCAGAUUGAACGCUGGCGGCACGCUUAACACAUGCAAGUUGAACGGCAGCAUGAUUUACUUUCGGGUAGAUUGAUGGCGAGUAGCGGACGGGUGAGUAAUGCGCAGGAAUAUGUCCUAAAGAGGGGGAUAGCUUGGGGAAACUCAAGGUAAUACCGCGUAAUUUCUGAGGAAAGAAGCUGGGGACCUUCGGGCCUGGCGCUUUAGGGGUAGCCUGCGUCUGAUUAGCUAGUUGGUGGGGUAAAGGCCUACCAAGGCGACGAUCGGUAGCUGGUCUGAGAGGACGGACAGCCACACUGGAACUGACAGACGGGCCAGACUCCUACGGGAGGCAGCAGUGGGGAAUAUUGGACAAUGGGGGGAACCCUGAUCCAGCGAUGCCGCGGGUGUGAAGAAGGCCUGAGGGUUGUAAAGCACUUUCAGUGGGGAGGAGGGUUAGUAGGUUAAGAGCUGAUUAACUGGACGUUACCCACAGAAGAAGCACCGGCUAACUCCGUGCCAGCAGCCGCGGUAAUACGGGGGGUGCAAGCGUUAAUCGGAAUUACUGGGCGUAAAGGGUGCGUAAGUGGUUUGUUAAGUUAUUUUUCAAAGUACUGGGCUUAACCUGGCGUGGUGGGAUAAUACUGACAGACUCGAGUAUGGGACAGGGUAGUAGAAUUUCCGGUGUACCGGUGAAAUGCGUAGAGAUCGGCUGCGAUACGGGUGCCUGAGGCGGCUACCUGGACUAAUAGUGACACUGACGCACGAAAGCGUGGGGAGCAAACACGAUUAGAUAC
rnacentral:rRNA from 1 species